UCUGAAGACGAUUCAAUCAAGUUAGGUAGCAUUGUAUCUGGGAUAAUUGAUAGUAUAACUAGUCAGGCAGUCAUUGUCCGUGUUAAAUCCAAAGGUGUUCUCAAGGGUACAAUUUCUGCUGAACAUUUAGCUGAUCAUCAUGAGCAAGCAAAAUUAAUGAAGUCACUUUUAAGACCUGGAUAUGAGCUUGAUAAGCUGCUGGUACUAGACAUUGAAGGCAACAACUUGGCCCUCUCUUCAAAAUAUUCUCUUAUUAAGUUAGCUGAAGAGCUUCCUUCGGAUUUUAAUCAGCUCCAGCCAAACUCAGUGGUUCAUGGUUAUGUUUGUAACUUGAUUGAAAAUGGCUGCUUUGUCCGUUUUCUUGGUCGUCUGACUGGUUUCGCCCC